UUAAGUUAUUAAGGGCGCACGGUGGAUGCCUUGGCACUAGAAGCCGAUGAAGGACGUUACUAACGACGAUAUGCUUUGGGGAGCUGUAAGUAAGCUUUGAUCCAGAGAUUUCCGAAUGGGGAAACCCAGCAUGAGUUAUGUCAUGUUAUCGAUAUGUGAAUACAUAGCAUAUCAGAAGGCACACCCGGAGAACUGAAACAUCUUAGUACCCGGAGGAAGAGAAAGAAAAUUCGAUUCCCUUAGUAGCGGCGAGCGAAACGGGAAGAGCCCAAACCAACAAGCUUGCUUGUUGGGGUUGUAGGACACUCUAUACGGAGUUACAAAGGACGACAUUAGACGAAUCAUCUGGAAAGAUGAAUCAAAGAAGGUAAUAAUCCUGUAGUCGAAAAUGUUGUCUCUCUUGAGUGGAUCCUGAGUACGACGGAGCACGUGAAAUUCCGUCGGAAUCUGGGAGGACCAUCUCCUAAGGCUAAAUACUCUCUAGUGACCGAUAGUGAACCAGUACCGUGAGGGAAAGGUGAAAAGCACCCCGGAAGGGGAGUGAAAUAGAACCUGAAACCGUGUGCUUACAAGUAGUCAGAGCCCGUUAAUGGGUGAUGGCGUGCCUUUUGUAGAAUGAACCGGCGAGUUACGAUUUGAUGCAAGGUUAAGCAGUAAAUGUGGAGCCGUAGCGAAAGCGAGUCUGAAUAGGGCGUUUAGUAUUUGGUCGUAGACCCGAAACCAGGUGAUCUACCCUUGGUCAGGUUGAAGUUCAGGUAACACUGAAUGGAGGACCGAACCGACUUACGUUGAAAAGUGAGCGGAUGAACUGAGGGUAGCGGAGAAAUUCCAAUCGAACCUGGAGAUAGCUGGUUCUCUCCGAAAUAGCUUUAGGGCUAGCCUCAAGUGAUGAUUAUUGGAGGUAGAGCACUGUUUGGACGAGGGGCCCCUCUCGGGUUACCGAAUUCAGACAAACUCCGAAUGCCAAUUAAUUUAACUUGGGAGUCAGAACAUGGGUGAUAAGGUCCGUGUUCGAAAGGGAAACAGCCCAGACCACCAGCUAAGGUCCCAAAAUAUAUGUUAAGUGGAAAAGGAUGUGGCGUUGCCCAGACAACUAGGAUGUUGGCUUAGAAGCAGCCAUCAUUUAAAGAGUGCGUAAUAGCUCACUAGUCGAGUGACACUGCGCCGAAAAUGUACCGGGGCUAAACAUAUUACCGAAGCUGUGGAUUGUCCUUUGGACAAUGGUAGGAGAGCGUUCUAAGGGCGUUGAAGCAUGAUCGUAAGGACAUGUGGAGCGCUUAGAAGUGAGAAUGCCGGUGUGAGUAGCGAAAGACGGGUGAGAAUCCCGUCCACCGAUUGACUAAGGUUUCCAGAGGAAGGCUCGUCCGCUCUGGGUUAGUCGGGUCCUAAGCUGAGGCCGACAGGCGUAGGCGAUGGAUAACAGGUUGAUAUUCCUGUACCACCUAUAAUCGUUUUAAUCGAUGGGGGGACGCAGUAGGAUAGGCGAAGCGUGCGAUUGGAUUGCACGUCUAAGCAGUAAGGCUGAGUAUUAGGCAAAUCCGGUACUCGUUAAGGCUGAGCUGUGAUGGGGAGAAGACAUUGUGUCUUCGAGUCGUUGAUUUCACACUGCCGAGAAAAGCCUCUAGAUAGAAAAUAGGUGCCCGUACCGCAAACCGACACAGGUAGUCAAGAUGAGAAUUCUAAGGUGAGCGAGCGAACUCUCGUUAAGGAACUCGGCAAAAUGACCCCGUAACUUCGGGAGAAGGGGUGCUCUUUAGGGUUAACGCCCAGAAGAGCCGCAGUGAAUAGGCCCAAGCGACUGUUUAUCAAAAACACAGGUCUCUGCUAAACCGUAAGGUGAUGUAUAGGGGCUGACGCCUGCCCGGUGCUGGAAGGUUAAGAGGAGUGGUUAGCUUCUGCGAAGCUACGAAUCGAAGCCCCAGUAAACGGCGGCCGUAACUAUAACGGUCCUAAGGUAGCGAAAUUCCUUGUCGGGUAAGUUCCGACCCGCACGAAAGGCGUAACGAUUUGGGCACUGUCUCAACGAGAGACUCGGUGAAAUCAUAGUACCUGUGAAGAUGCAGGUUACCCGCGACAGGACGGAAAGACCCCGUGGAGCUUUACUGUAGCCUGAUAUUGAAAUUCGGCACAGCUUGUACAGGAUAGGUAGGAGCCUUUGAAACGUGAGCGCUAGCUUACGUGGAGGCGCUGGUGGGAUACUACCCUAGCUGUGUUGGCUUUCUAACCCGCACCACUUAUCGUGGUGGGAGACAGUGUCAGGCGGGCAGUUUGACUGGGGCGGUCGCCUCCUAAAAGGUAACGGAGGCGCUCAAAGGUUCCCUCAGAAUGGUUGGAAAUCAUUCAUAGAGUGUAAAGGCAUAAGGGAGCUUGACUGCGAGACCUACAAGUCGAGCAGGGUCGAAAGACGGACUUAGUGAUCCGGUGGUUCCGCAUGGAAGGGCCAUCGCUCAACGGAUAAAAGCUACCCCGGGGAUAACAGGCUUAUCUCCCCCAAGAGUUCACAUCGACGGGGAGGUUUGGCACCUCGAUGUCGGCUCGUCGCAUCCUGGGGCUGUAGUCGGUCCCAAGGGUUGGGCUGUUCGCCCAUUAAAGCGGUACGCGAGCUGGGUUCAGAACGUCGUGAGACAGUUCGGUCCCUAUCCGUCGUGGGCGUAGGAAAUUUGAGA
rnacentral:rRNA from 1 species